rnacentral:SRP_RNA from 1 species
ACCGAGUGCGGUGGCGCGCGCCUGUAAUCCAAGUCCCUGGGAGGAUCGUUUCAGUUCAGGAGCUCUGAGCUGCAGUGGACUGUGUCGAUCGGGUGUCCGCACUAAGUUCGGUAUCGAUAUGCUAAUCCUGGGGGAGCUCGAGACCAGCAGGUUGUCUAAGGAAGGGUGAACCGGCCCAGGUCGGUAAACGGAGCAGGUUAAAGCCCUCGUGCCACUCAGUAAUUGGUUCGCGCCCGUGAACAGACGCUGUAGUUCAGCCUGAGUGAUACAGCAAGACUCAGACU